rnacentral:rRNA from 1 species
CUUAGCGCACGGCUCAGUAACACGUAGUCAACCUACCCUGGAGACGCGGACAAACCCGGGAAACUGGGGCUAAUACGCGAUAGGUGAUGCCAUCUGGAAGGAGACAUCGCCUAAAGGGUGGUGCGGGUAUGUUCCGCACCAGCGCUCCAGGAUGGGACUGCGGACGAUCAGGCUGUUGGCGGGGUAAUGGCCCACCAAAACUGUAACCGGUACGGGCUUUGAGAGAAGGAGCCCGGAGAUGGACACUGAGACAAGGGUCCAGGCCCUACGGGGCGCAUCAGGCGCGGAAACUUCGCAAUGCGCGAAAGCGUGACGAGGCUAAUCCGAGUGCCGCCCGCUGAGGGUGGCUAUACUUUGCUGUAAAUAGGCAGGGGAAUAACGGGAGGGCCAGUCUGGUGUCAGCCGCCGCGGUAAUACCAGCUCCUCGAGUGUUCGGGACGAUUAUUGGGCCUAAAGCACCCGUAGCCUGUUCUGCAAGUCUUCUGUUAAAUCCAGCCGCCCAACGGUUGAGCUUCAGAGGAUACUGCAAGACUAGGAGGCGGGAGAGGCGGACGGUACUCCGCGGGUAGGGGUAAAAUCCUGUGAUCCGCGGAAGACCACCAGUGGCGAAGGCGGUCCGCCAGAACGCGCACGACGGUGAGGGGUGAAAGCUGGGGGAGCGAACCGGAUUAGAUACCCGGGUAGUCCCAGCCGUAAACGAUGCGAGCUAGAUGAUUCAAUCGCAGUUCGCGAUUGAAGUGUCGCAGGGAAGCCGUUAAGCUCGCCGCCUGGGGAGUACGGUCGCAAGGCUGAACUUAAAGGCCA